rnacentral:rRNA from 1 species
AUGCCUGUUCGAGCGUCAUUACACACCUCAAGCUCUGCUUGGUAUUGGGCCUCCGUCCGCUGCGGGCGGGCCUCGAAAUCCUCGGCGGUGGUGCCCGGCUUUGAGCGUAGUAGAAUCUCUUUCUCGCUUUGA